rnacentral:rRNA from 1 species
UAGGGAAUCUUCGGCAAUGGACGAAAGUCUGACCGAGCAACGCCGCGUGAGUGAAGAAGGUUUCGGAUCGUAAAACUCUGUUGGUAGAGAAGAACGUUGGUGAGAGUGGAAAGCUCAUCAAGUGACGGUAACUACCCAGAAAGGGACGGCUAACUACGUGUCAG